CCUACGGGCGGCUGCAGUGGGGAAUAUUGGACAAUGGGCGAAAGCCUGAUCCAGCCAUGCCGCGUGUGUGAAGAAGGCCUUCGGGUUGUAAAGCACUUUCAGUGGGGAAGAAAGCCUUGGGGCUAAUACCCUCGAGGAAGGACAUCACCCACAGAAGAAGCACCGGCUAACUCCGUGCCAGCAGCCGCGGUAAUACGGAGGGUGCGAGCGUUAAUCGGAAUUACUGGGCGUAAAGCGCGCGUAGGCGGUCUGAUAAGCCGGUUGUGAAAGCCCCGGGCUCAACCUGGGAACGGCAUCCGGAACUGUCAGGCUAGAGUGCAGGAGAGGAAGGUAGAAUUCCCGGUGUAGCGGUGAAAUGCGUAGGGAUCGGGAGGAAUACCAGUGGCGAAGGCGGCCUUCUGGACUGACACUGACGCUGAGGUGCGAAAGCGUGGGUAGCAAACAGGAUUAGAUACCCCAGUAUC
rnacentral:rRNA from 1 species